GACGAACGCUGGCGGCGUGCUUAACACAUGCAAGUCGAACGAAGUGGCGAACGGGUGAGUAAAGCGUCAUCAACCUGCCCUUCAGAGGGGGACAACAGUUGGAAACGACUACUACUACCGCAUACUGAAGAAGGGGCUUGCGUCUGAUUAUCUAGGUGGGGGGGUAACGGCCCACCAAGGCGAUGAUCAGUCGCCGGGCUGAGAGGAUGAACGGCCACAUUGGGACUGAGACACGGCCCAGACUCCUACGGGAGGCAGCAGUGGGGAAUCUGCCGCAAUGGACGAAAGUCUGACGGAGCAACGCCGCGUGAGUGAUGACGGCCUUCGGGUUGUAAAGCUCUGUUAAUCGGGACGCGGUACCGGAAUAGAAAGCCACGGCUAACUACGUGCCAGCCGCCGCGGUAAUAC
rnacentral:rRNA from 1 species